rnacentral:rRNA from 1 species
ACCGGCGCACGGGUGCGUAACACGUAUACAAUCUGCCUUUAACAGGGGGAUAGCCCGGAGAAAUCCGGAUUAAUACCCCAUAACAAUAGAAUCAGCAUUGAUUUUAUUUAAAAGCUCCGGCGGUUAGAGAUGAGUAUGCGUCUGAUUAGCUAGUAGGUGAGGUAACGGCUCACCUAGGCGACGAUCAGUAGGGGAUCUGAGAGGAUUAACCCCCACACGGAUACUGAGACACGGAUCCGACUCCUACGGGAGGCAGCAGUAAGGAAUAUUGGACAAUGCCCGCAAGGGUGAUCCAGCCAUGCCGCGUGCAGGAAGACGGCCCUAUGGGUUGUAAACUGCUUUUGCACCAGAGAAAACCCCCCUACGUGCAGGGGGCUGAUAGUAUGGUGAGAAUAAGCAUCGGCUAACUUCGUGCCAGCAGCCGCGGUAAGACGAAGGAUGCAAGCGUUAUCCGGAUUCAUUGGGUUUAAAGGGAGCGUAGGUGGUCUUAUAAGUCAGUGGUGAAAUCUCCUCGCUUAACGAGGAAAUUGCCAUUGAUACUGUAGGACUUGAGUACAGUUGCUGUGGGCGGAAUAUGACAUGUAGUGGUGAAAUACAUAGAGAUGUCAUAGAACACCGAUUGCGAAGGCAGCUCACAAAACUGUAACUGACACUGAGGCUCGAAAGUGCGGGGAUCAAACAGGAUUAGAUACCCUGGUAGUCCGCACUGUAAACGAUGAUUACUCGC